rnacentral:rRNA from 1 species
GACGUAGGGCGCAAGCGUUGUCCGGAUUUAUUGGGCGUAAAGAGCUCGUAGGCGGCUCGUUGCGUCGGCUGUGAAAUCCCGUGGCUUAACUGCGGGCUUGCAGCUGAUACGGGCGGGCUGGAGUUCGGUAGGGGAGACUGGAAUUCCUGGUGUAGCGGUGAAAUGCGCAGAUAUCAGGAGGAACACCGGUGGCGAAGGCGGGUCUCUGGGCCGUAACUGACGCUGAGGAGCGAAAGCGUGGGGAGCAAACAGG